rnacentral:rRNA from 1 species
CCCUUAGAUGUUCUGGGCCGCACGCGCGCUACACUGAUUCAUGCAACAAGUUUUGUCCUUGGCUGAUAGGCCUGGGUAAUCUUUGAACGUGAAUCGUGAUGGGGAUAGAUGAUUGCAAUUAUUCAUCUUCAACGAGGAAUUCCUAGUAAACGCAAGUCAUCAGCUUGCAUUGAUUACGUCCCUGCCCUUUGUACACACCGCCCGUCGCACCUACCGAUCGAAUGGUCCGGUGAAAUCUUCGGAUCUGAGAGAUGUCUGAUUAAUUUCGGACGCCUUUUGGAAAAGUUGUUUAAACCUUACCAUUUAGAGGAAGGUGAANUCGUANCA